rnacentral:rRNA from 1 species
UCCCUAUGGGGUGCAGCAGGCGCGAAACCUCCUCAAUGCACUCACGUGCGAAGGGGUUACCUCGAGUGCUACCUGAAGAAGGUGGCUUUUCCUUGGUCUAAAAAGCCUUGGGAAUAAGAGGGGGGCAAGACUGGUGUCAGCCGCCGCGGUAACACCAGCCCCUCGAGUGGUGGGGAUGAUUAUUUGGUCUAAAGCGUCCGUAGCCGGCCGUGUAAGUUUCCCGUUAAAUCCAUCGUCUCAAGCGUUGGACUGCGGGAAAUACUGCUCGGCUAGAGAGUGGGAGAGGUCAACGGUAUUCCGGGGGUAGGGGCGAAAUCCUUUGAUCCCCGGAGGACCACCAGUGGCGAAGGCUGUUGACUAGAACACGUCUGACGGUCAGGGACGAAAGCUGGGGUAGCGAACCGGAUUAGAUACCCGGGUAGUCCCAGCCGUAAACGAUGCAUGCUAGGUGUUAGGUUGGCCACGUGCCACCCUAGUGCCGCAGGGAAGCCGUUAAGCAUGCCACCUGGGAAGUACGGCCGCAAGGCUGAAACUUAAAGGAAUUGGCGGGGGAGCACCACCAGGCGUGAAGCCUGCGGUUUAAUUGGAUUCAACGCCGGAA